AAUUUGAUCUAACCUUUAGAUCGUAUUGGUUGAGUUAAGAUCCAAUCAUUUUUUCAUGGGUCGAUGAUCUACACUACUGGUAGGCAUGGUAUGAAGCUCUCGCUGAUGUCGAACAGCUGCACAGGUCAUCCGAUCUCUACAGAUCAUCCACUCGAAGCCCUGAUUGGAUCUUCCUUUAUAGGAGUGCUAGCUCGCAUCGAAGGCUCUGGAUGGC
rnacentral:lncRNA from 1 species